CGGGGUUUCGUUUUUUUCAAAUGAUUAAACUAUAUAGUAUAAAUUACCGUUGGGAUGGAGAUAUUAUUUUUUUAUUCGGACAAGGUUCGUCGUCGGAGGGUAUCCGUCCGAUAUAUUAACGAAAUGGUACGCGGGAUGGAGGUGGUGGUGGAGGGGGUAGGGGUACGGGGAUUUAAUUAUGUCCCGGCUACAAUAUCAAUUUGGUGUAAUCGUUUCUGA